UAGUCCGCACGAGCGCACCCCUAUUGUUAGUUGCCAGCAUGUUAUGAUGGGGACUCUAACAAGACUGCCUGCGCAAGCAGAGAGGAAGGAGGGGAUGACGUCAAGUCAUCAUGGCCCUUACGCCCAGGGCUACACACGUGCUACAAUGGCGCAUACAGAGGGUCGCUACCUGGCAACAGGAUGCCAAUCUCAAAAAGUGCGUCUCAGUUCGGAUUGGGGUCUGCAACUCGACCCCAUGAAGUCGGAAUCGCUAGUAAUCGCGCAUCAGCAAUGGCGCGGUGAAUACGUUCCCGGACCUU
rnacentral:rRNA from 1 species